rnacentral:lncRNA from 13 species
CAGUUGGCUAAUUUUUUUUUUUUUUUUUUUUUUUUAAGAGACGGGAUUUCACCAUAUUGGUCAGGCUGGACUGGAACCCCUGACUUCAGGUGAUCAACCUGCCUCAGCCUCCAAAAGUGUUGGGAUUACAGACAGGCGUGAGCUACCGCACCCAUCUGGCAGUUGGCUAAUUUUUAAACACUUUUUUUGCAGAGCUGGGGUCUUGCUAUGUUGGCCAAGUUGGUCUUGAACUCCUGGACUCAAGGGAUUCUCCUGCCUUGGCCUCCCAGAACACAUUGCAAGCAUGAGCCACUGCACGUGGCCAAAACUCUGUCUCCUGAUCUGUUGGCCUCAGAUAAAUAAAUAAAAUAAAAAUAAAUCCUGGCCAGGUAUAGUUGCUCACACCUGUAAUCCCAGCAGUUUAGGAGGCUGAGGUGGGAGGAUUGCUUGAGCCCAGGAGUUGGAGACCAGCCUGGGCAACAUGGCAAAACCCCCUUACAAAAAUUAGUCAGGCCUGGUGGAGCACGCCUUGUAGUCCCAGCUAUUCAGGAGGCUGAGGCUAGAUCACUUGAACCUGGGAGGCAGAGUCUGGAGUGAGCCAAGAUCGUGCUACUGCAUUCCAGCCUAGGCAACAGAGGGAGACUCUGUCUCUAAAUAAAUAAAUAAAACAAACCUAUUUUAAGACACUAUCACCCUUUAAAACUUCCUAUACAAUUGCUACAGAACCAUAGAACAAGGGUAAAAACUGGGAAAUUAACACUGAUGCGUUACUUCCAUCUAAUCUUCAGAUACCUUUUAGGUUUUGCCAGUUGUCCCAACCAUGUCCUUCAGCAAGCAAGACCUUCAGAUCAGAGUCAGGCACUGCACUGAGCUAAGGCGUCUUCAGUAUGAUUUAGACCGGGACAGUUCCUGGGACCUUGACCCUCCGGGAGCUGACAGAUUCGGAACACUGGGUCACUUGGCUGCCUUCCGAGCACCUGUGCCAGCUAGAUAUGGCUCAUUUUAUAGAUAAGCAAACAGAGUCCCGUUGAGUGUAGUUUAUCCAGCAAUCACGGGUACAGAACGAGCCUCUUCUGACAUCCUUGGGCCAUGUAGACAAGCAAUUCAGGUUCAAAAUCACAUCAGUUCAGUCAAAACUCUUCUGCUGGUUUGGAAGGUAAAUGAAUACAGCCUUAAAUUUUGACUUUAUGAGUGCAAUUUUUUCCUCUUAUAACUUUGCAUUCUGUCCACAAUCUGAUUUGAAGAAUCUCUAAUUAAGAACCAAAUACUCUAUGUCAUAGGACAGUCGUAUUUUUAGGAUAGUGGUAUUCUUGGAGCUUAACAAUAACUAAUCAAGAUAAACAGGACUUCCGAGGAAUAGACACACAUAUAAACCAUUCAGAUUAACAAAAGGACAUGCCCAGAGUUGGAGAAAACCAUAGCCCACCCUGGGAUGAGCUCUGCCUUGUAGAGGGGGGCUGAGAUUUUACUGAGUCACCUGGAGCAAUGCUCUGCAUUUUCCGGACUUUUCUGGAGGUGAAAUAAGGUGAAAUAGGUGAAAUAAGCCAUUGAGGUGUCCUUCGCACUGUAGCUGGGCACACGGCAUCACUAGCUUGCUGGUCUGAUGCACUCUGGGAAAACUAGCCAAUGAGGUUCAUAUUAAAGCAUACCUACACCUCUUCACCCAUAAUUCGACCUGUCGUAUGGGGUAUGAACACCCAGCAUUUCUGAAUUCAGUUUAGGGUGAUGUUGAAACGACCAGCUUGGUGGCUCUGAAAGGUUUCUGUUGAUUUCUGUAAAAUACCUCUCAUCUCACAGCAAUGCUGGGCAAAUGCAAGAAGUGGUACUAACUACAUCAUGCUAUGAGGCUUGAGAACUAGGAGGGAUUCAGCCAAUGCCUCCUACCAGGCCAAAAACUAGAAGCCGUAUUGGAUUAUUCAAAAGCAACAUAGACAGGCUGGGUGCAGUGACUCAAUGCAGUAAUCCCAGCAUUUUGGGAUGCUGAGGCAGGUGAAUCAUUUAAGGUCAGAAGUUUGAGACCAGCUUGGUCACCAUGGUGAAACUCCAUCUAUACUAAAAAUACAAAAAAUUAGCUGUGUGUGGUGGCAAAUGCCUGUUAAUCCCAGCUACUCAGGAGGCUGAGGCAGGAGAGGUGCUUGAACCUGGGAGGUGAAGGUUACAGUGAGCCAAGGGCACUCCAGCCUGGGUGACAGAGUGAGACUCCAUCUCAAAAACAAGCAAACAAAAAAACCCCACAAAAAAAACCGUCGACAGAAACUGGACAUCCAAGAUGGCCACCAAACCAAACAUGUACUUAGAUGAAAACAACACAUCGUCAAACAAGGCAGACGAUGUUACCAGAACAUAAAAUCAUUAUCAACAUUACACAAACAUCCUCAUCCGGCUCCAUCUUCACCUGACUGCUGUUACCAAACUGCUUUUGUAGAAUUGUAUAUGGGACCCCAUCUUGUUCCUGGCACACAGGAGGUGAUGAGUGAAUGGAACCAUAGUCUGCCUCACAUAGACAAGGAGGAAAUGAGAGGCAAUGGCCUUGACUAGACCCGGAAGGGUCCUUGAUGAUUCAUCACGAAAGGUUACUCUGGAUAAGCUCCAUCCCCAAAGAGUGAUGUAAGGCUCAAGGAAGGAGGCUGUGUUUGCUCUCAUACUGGGAAAGAAGUGUAGGCACCCACAUGCGACACUUUCCUGUUCACAAUUUAAACUAUUUUGCUGUUGGCUGGGCACAGUGGUUCACACUUGCUAUCCCAGCACUUUGAGAGGCCGAGGCAGGUGGAUCACCGGAGGUCAGGAGGUGGGACCAGCCUGGCCAACAUGGGGAAACCCUAUCUCUUCUAAAAAUACAAAAUUAGCUAGGCAUGGUGGUGUACACCUGUAAUCCCAGCUACUCAGGAGGCUGAGGCAGGAGAAUCCCUUGAACCCGGGAGUCGGAGGUUGCAGUGAGCUGAGAUUGUGCCAUUGUACUCCAGCCUGGGCAAAACACCAUCUCAAUCACAAUAAUACUACUAAUAAUAAAACACAUUUAAAAAAAACA